GUACGAAGGUCCCAAGCGUUAUUCGGAAUCACUGGGCGUAAAGAGUACGUAGGCGGUUUGGUAAGUCAGGUGUGAAAUCCCGAAGCUCAACUUCGGAACUGCAUCCGAUACUGCCAGACUAGAGUAAUGGAGAGGCAGGUGGAAUUCUCGGUGUAGCAGUGAAAUGCGUGGAUAUCGAGAGGAAGACCAAUGGCGAAGGCAGCCUGCUGGACAUUUACUGACGCUGAGGUACGAAGGCUAGGGGAGCGAAAGGGAUUAGAUACCCCAGUAGUCC
rnacentral:rRNA from 1 species